UCCCUGUUACCAGGGCAGUCUGAGUAGAAAAAUUCAACUACUCACAAGGGUUGCGCUCGUUGAUGGACUUAACCAAACAUCUCACGACACGAGCUGACGACGGCCAUGCAACACCUGUCACUGCGGCCCGAAGGCACUCUCUCCUUUCGGAAAGAUUAGCAGGAUGUCAAGCCUGGGUAAGGUUCUUCGCUUACCAUCGAAUUAAACAACACGCUCCACCGCUUGUGCGGGUCCCCGUCAAUUCCUUUAUGUUUUAGUCUUGCGACCGUACUCCACAGGCGGGAUGCUUAACGCGUCAGCUUCGCUACGUAUCGGGUCGAUACGACACACAGCUAGCAUCCAUCGUUUACGGCGUGGACUAA
rnacentral:misc_RNA from 1 species